UCGGGCUUCAGCAUAUUUGAAAAAUUUAUCUUCUCUUUUCCAGUUUUCUGCUCCAUAUUCAUCAAUAAUCGGUAAUAAACUAUCAAAGGAUUAAUUGGCUCAGCUCACACAUCAAUGGUAGCAUUUUUAUUCCAUGUUCUGUCCAAAAUGACAUAAAAGGCAACUAAGAUGUCUCAAAAGCCACCCAAAAUCAAAUUACAGUCAAUUUGGAUAAAUUUUAGUUGCUUUGGAUAAAUUUUUUUUUUUUUUUUUUUUUUUUGUAAUUUUGUAAUUUUGGAUGGUUUCUGAGAUAUUUUGAUCAGAUUUUUUGUCAUUUUGUGCAAAUUAUUAGUCAUUGCAUACAAGAUCCUGUCAUUUGGGAUAAAUUAGAAUUUAAAUUUGAUUGAUGUUAGAUAUUUUUUGGUCAUUUUGGGGAGAUUUUAAACAUUUUUGCUCUUUUUUUUCAAUUUUGGAUAUUUUUUGGUCAUUUUAGAUAACUUUAUUUAUUUUGGAUAAUCUUUUGGUCAUUUUAGAUAAUGUUUGGGUCAUUUUGGAUAUUUUUUGUCAUUUUGGAUAAUUUUUUGUCAUUUUGGAUUUUUUUGGGUCAUUUUAGAUCAUUUUUCUUUGAUCAUUUUGGAUAACUUUUGUCAGUUUGGAUUUUUUUUUUUUUUUGGUCAUUUUAUUGGUCAUUUUGAAUAUUUUUUGUCAUUUUGGAAUUUUUUUGGUCAUUCUGGAUAAUGUUUUGGAUAAUUUUGGUCAUUUUGGAUAAUUUUUGGGUCAUUCUGGAUUUUUUUUGUCAUUUUAGAUAAUUUUUUUUUACUCAUUUUGGAUAUUUUUUUCAUUUUAGAAAUUUUCUUUAUUUUGGAUACUUUUUUGGUCAUUUUGGAUAUUUUUUGUCAUUUUGGACUAUUUCUGGAAUAUUUUCGUCACCUUUUGAGUCAUUGUGGUUUAUUUUGGACUUUUUUGUCAUUUUGAGGAGAUUAUGAAAAUAUGAAAACUAGAAGAGAGGACAUAGCUUUACUCUAUUCAUUCUUUAGGGAAACUGUCGGAUGAUAAUUCCAGUGUUUCAUGUGAUUCACUGUUUUCUUCUUCUUCUACCAGAUAAAAAGCUUAUGCUAACAUGUUGUGACACAUGUUUCAUGCAUAAUUAUUACUAUUUAUUUUCUCCUACUUUUUUAGAUUUGGUCUCAGGACAGGAACAUUUUUGCACGUGGAUUAUUGGAAAUUGGAUAGAAUAUCUAAAGUGACACAAACUCCAUCCAGACUACUCCAAAUGUGUUUGUCUAAAAGGAAAUAUAGUUUUAAAAAUAAAUCAAAAACAUCUAAAAAUCUCAAAAUGUGUCCAUGACAUAAGCAAUAUGUAAAAAGAAAUUGCCCACAAAUUGUUCAAAAUGAUUUAAAAUGAUCAAAACCUUUUUAACUUUAUAUAGAAACAACUUUUAGAUAAAUAUCUGUAGUAUGUGGAGACAAAAUGACCACAGAGACACAAAACAACAAAAUAAACACACAAAGCAACAACAAGGUACAAAAUAACACAAAAAAGACCUGAAAUGGC
ensembl:lncRNA